CCAACCAUAGCUCAGUUGGUAGAGCGGAUGACUGUAGUGGAACAAUGUCACAUGACAUCAUCAUGUCGCUGGUUCGAUUCCGGCUGGUUGGA